GCCGGACAGGGCGGCCCCGCCUCCGUCCUGCCCGCCGCGGCUGGCUCGGGGCCCUCGCUUAGAGCGGGGUUUAAUAAUUUAUUUUCCCGGGGCGCUGAAUGUUGUCAGGUGGGGCUGCGGCUGCCGGCCCGGGGGAGCCCCUGGCCCCGGCCCUCGCACUGCGCCGAGCCAAGGAGGAGGAGCGCCCCGAAUUACAGCGGGAAAUCAGCGCUGGACACAGCCGCCUCCUCCGCAGCAUGGCUGACGGAAGAAAGUAACGCUUGGUUAGAAGUGUCACAUUCCACGGGCAUUGGACUAAAGCGACUGAGAUUCCUUUUUUUAUAGUCAAGAUAAAUGAGGGAUGAGCUCGGGAGCAUUCUAAUUUAGGAUAAAGAUUCUCCUCUGGCCUCUGCACCUCUCUGGCUGAACACAAAUCUUACCUCAGCUGCAAAAUUAGAAAAAAACCCAAAGUAACUGAAUUUCACUCUGAAAAUGGAUUGUAUUCCUUCUGCUGGAAUUAAAGAACAGGUUAAUAUGGCUUUGAUUGAAUAAUUAUUAUCACUUAUAGCAUGGAGGCUUUGAGAGAAGCCUGAGCUGCCAAGCUGCUGCUCUGUCUAAGCAGUUCCUAUAACUAAGCUUGUGUUUUGACUAAAAUCCCCUGAAGAUGCCAUGAUAAGCCCCUCUAUCCUGGUUGAUUUCUUACAUUUUUUUUUGGACAUACAGUCCAGAGAGCAUUGGACCGUCCUUCUUGCCUAACAAGAUUUCUUUCAUCAACUUCCCAAAGUACUAAGGGAAAGAGCAGUCGGAGUGCUCUGGAGCUUCAGGACAAGGUGUUCUGGAAGUUUUCCCUAUAUUUUAUCAGCCUUUAUCAGAAGCUGGGCUAGACCAGGUGAUGCACAUCUGCAGGGAGUGACUGGGAUUUCCCUGUGUAACUCUGCAGCACAAGCCAAGGUAGGGGAAGAUCCCUGACAGCGGUGCAGAUGCAGAGCUGUGUUGUAGGUGUUCUGAGGCUGCUGAGAAAUGUGAGGUCACUGUGAAGGUGCCAUAGAGGAGGAGCAGGUUAAUUUGCCAGGGAUGCCAAGUCCUGAAUCUGAACUCUUGUAAGGGAGCCAGGUGCUUUCCCACAGUGCUGGAGUAAUUGGAGCAUUCCUUUCCCCCCAAGUUUAGAGGAUGCGGCAAAUGAGGAAGGGGCUGGCCUUGUGGAAAUGUCACUGAACUUCUACAUGCUGAUCAAAGGCAGGAGAGAAGUAAUCACAGGAAAAAAGUAAGAUUUGCUUAUGUGAAGAAUGAUACAGCCACUACAAGACUGACUGUAAAGCACCAUAACAAAGUACUGCCACUGGCUCAACUGAAGGAGGUGCCAGAUUCAUGGAACAUGUCCUCUUUCCCUUGAAUGCCUGAGGUUGGCUAUAAAUCAAGCAGGUUUUCUUCAGGAUGGAUCAAAAUGGUUAUCAGGAUCCAUUACAGUAUAGGCUCAGCUGUGUCACAGAAAAACUCUUUUGAAGUUCUUGUCUAAUACCUUUUGGGACAGCUCAGAGCAGAGUGGCCAGAACCAUGCAAGUUGCAAAGUGCCACAGUCCUAAAAACUUCAUGAUCUACUGACACCAGAGGAGGCUGAAAAUGACAGAAUAGCCAACUGCUGCCCGCAGCUGCUGUGAUGAACACAGUUUUUCAUGAAAAUGAUAUAGUGUAAAUUAUUUCAAAAUACUACAUAACAAUAAGAUCCUUCCUAGUGAUUCUUUCGAAAAGUGAAUUUCCAAGAAAGAAUUCAAAACCCAACAGUAUUUCAUGAGAAGCCCUAGAUACUGAGUUGGAGAAAAAAUGGUUGUCUACAUGUUAAAAAUCAGCUAAGACUGAAACAUAAAAGAUGAAGGGUUUUUCCUUUUUUUCCCCCAUUUGUUACCAAACCCAGAUGAAAUUGACAAAAUAAAACUUCAAGAAUCCAUUCAAUAAA